rnacentral:rRNA from 1 species
UGGGGAAUAUUGGACAAUGGGCGAAAGCCUGAUCCAGCCAUGCCGCGUGUGUGAAGAAGGUCUUCGGAUUGUAAAGCACUUUAAGUUGGGAGGAAGGGCAUUAACCUAAUACGUUAGUGUUUUGACGUUACCGACAGAAUAAGCACCGGCUAACUCUGUGCCAGCAGCCGCGGUAAUACAGAGGGUGCAAGCGUUAAUCGGAAUUACUGGGCGUAAAGCGCGCGUAGGUGGUUUGUUAAGUUGGAUGUGAAAUCCCCGGGCUCAACCUGGGAACUGCAUUCAAAACUAACUGACUAGAGUAUGGUAGAGGGUGGUGGAAUUUCCUGUGUAGCGGUGAAAUGCGUAGAUAUAGGAAGGAACACCAGUGGCGAAGGCGACCACCUGGACUAAUACUGACACUGAGGUGCGAAAGCGUGGGGAGCAAACA